GAGUUCAAUAAAUAUAUAUUACCUUUAGGUGAAGUAGGAUGUCGAGGAACACAUAAGUGAGAAUAUAAGUGCGUGUCAGAUUUCAAAUACUCCCCAACUUUCUGUAUGAAGCUCUUUUUCCUCUGUUUCUUGUUUCCCGUUGUUUCCACUUCUAAAAUCCGAAAUUAAACCCUUCUAUUAACAAUUACAUGCUAAACGGAAAAAAACCCAUUAACAAAAAGCAUUGAAAUUAGAAUAAAUUGACAGUGGUAUAGCAAUUUAACCUGUAGUAGAAGAAGAAGGGACGAUUCUUGAUGCUAGAAAGUUCGUUAAUGGAGGAGAAAUCAAUGGAGCGAACAUUGAAAACGGAGAACGCAGAACCGAAAACAGAGGAAUUGCUUUGACAUGAAGGGGGAAAAGUGUAAAAAAGUUCGUGCCGGUUAGGAUCAUAAUGAACACCUGUCGAAUUGUAACAUCGACAACUUGCUUCUUAACUUGAUUGUACUGGAUGACGCGUCUAAGAACACCUGUUGCAGCUUAUGUUAGAGAUUGGAACGGGGACCACUCAACGACACGCCGCGUAUAAGUUUAUCCUCGUGACGUUUUUAGUUCUGUUCCUCAUGGCUCGUAGUCGUUGGCUUAAUUUAAUAUAUGUGCUACUAUUGGUAAUAUAACUCAGUAGAAUUUGAAAAUUUAUAAAAUUAAUUAAUGCCAAAGAAAAAUAGAAUAAUUGUUGAAUCCGUAA